rnacentral:snRNA from 1 species
UAAACAACAACCGAAGCACAA